UACGGGGGGAGCAAGCGUUGUUCGGAUUUACUGGGCGUAAAGGGCGCGUAGGCGGCCACCGCAAGUCGACUGUGAAAUCUCCGGGCUUAACUCGGAAAGGUCAGCCGAUACUGCGGGGCUAGAGUACAGAAGGGGCAACUGGAAUUCUCGGUGUAGCGGUGAAAUGCGUAGAUAUCGAGAGGAACACCUGCGGCGAAGGCGGGUUGCUGGGCUGAUACUGACGCUGAGGCGCGAAAGCCAGGGGAGCGAACGGG
rnacentral:rRNA from 1 species